rnacentral:rRNA from 1 species
AGUGAACGCUGGCGGUAGGCCUAACACAUGCAAGUCGAACGGCAGCACAGUAAGAGCUUGCUCUUACGGGUGGCGAGUGGCGGACGGGUGAGGAAUACAUCGGAAUCUACUUUUUCGUGGGGGAUAACGUAGGGAAACUUACGCUAAUACCGCAUACGACCUACGGGUGAAAGCAGGGGAUCUUCGGACCUUGCGCGAUUGAAUGAGCCGAUGUCGGAUUAGCUAGUUGGCGGGGUAAAGGCCCACCAAGGCGACGAUCCGUAGCUGGUCUGAGAGGAUGACCAGCCACACUGGAACUGAGACACGGUCCAGACUCCUACGGGAGGCAGCAGUGGGAAUAUUGGACAAUGGGCGCAAGCCUGAUCCAGCCAUACCGCGUGGGUGAAGAAGGCCUUCGGGUUGUAAAGCCCUUUUGUUGGGAAAGAAAAGCAGCAGGUUAAUACCCCGCUGUUCUGACGGUACCCAAAGAAUAAGCACCGGCUAACUUCGUG